GAAAACAAGUGGAGCAAUCUUAGCCAUCCAUUUUCCCCACCGCUUGAUCCUAGCCGUCCAUUAUCCCUUUGACACAUCUAUAUAUAUAUGGGGAACAGUAUGAAGACUCGGGAGAAUUCGAGAGAGAGAGAACUAGAGUUCUCCGACCCAGACGCCACCGCGACCCGAGAAGAAACCCGACCGUCACGCCACCAUCCGCCCGCCCCACGACGUCGCACACCCACCAUUCCCUUCGCCUCCGCGUUGUCUACGUCCCUGUGGUUCCAGAUCUUACAUGCAGCGACUACAAGCGGGGAUUCGACGACGGAAAGCCUUGGGUCUCCUCCGGCGAUUUCUGCAAACUCCGGCGAAUCGGGCCACCGACAGAGCUGCUUGUGCUGCACCUGCAAUUCGAGGUUCCUUUUCGAUCUAGUUGAUCACAAGGUGAGUUGGGUUCUGUUGAAGGUCUGAGAAUUUACACUUCUGGAAACUGGGCUGCCUUGUAGCAUGCAUGCUGUGAUGUUGUGUUUGAGAAGAGUAAAUUGGUAGUUAGUCAGAAGAAAUCGAAAGCUAUGUUGUGAGCUUGCUGUUUUGUCCAUGUUUGCUAAGAUUGUAGUUGUUAAAUGAUUUUGGUGAUGGAUGUUGUAGUAUGUUUCUUAUUCUGGUGAAAAUGACAAAGCAUAAAUAUGCAAGUAUGCGUUCAGUUGAAUUGGUUCUGACAAUGUGAAAAAGAUCAAGUUAUGUUUGGGUGUCCUUGGUAAU